UCCGAUAAACCCACUCAGCGCCCGACUGAAAAGACAGCACCACCGCGCCACCCGUUUUUUAUAGGCUCGUGGCCGGAACCCGUUUCUCGCGGAGGAAUUUUCUCACCGUGCUGCGGUUGCUGGCAGAGGUGGUUGGGGCUAUGUGCCUGAAGUGAAGAUUCUGCCCACUGGUCAAGACACCUCCCUCUCAGAUGCUGGCUCUGCCCCUGCUUUUGGGGGUCGACCCCUGUACUCGCAGGACCUUAGGUGACUCUGUAAGUAUAGUAAAACUCAGUUAAUCUGAUGUUAUCAUUCAAUGUUUUUUAAAAAGUGGAGCAUCCAGUUGACAAGGUAAGACUUUUUCCUGACGCCUUUGGUUGUUUAUUUAAAAGUACAGGCAAUAUAUAAGAUGAAAGACAAACUCAGAGGUUCAAAUACAUCCAAUAAAUUGAAACAGCAGUGACAUACGCAUCCAAAGAUGACUGUAGCUAUUUAAAGCCAUGUCUUGUUUCUCUAGGCAAAAG